GUUUUUGUAGAAAAAAUAGAUGGUUGGCAUCUCCCCAACAGGGAUGGGAAGAACUUCUGGAUUUACCUGGUAUGUUACCAGACACAUCCUGUUAAGGUUCCCCACUUCGGUAGAUCUUUCCCAAUUUUAUU